GGCUUAGUAGCUGAAAACUUAAGGCGUCGGGUUGCAGGCUUGAAGGUGCGUGUAUACGUUUAGGCUU
rnacentral:tRNA from 1 species